CCGCCCCGCCCGGCGCCCGCCGCCGCCGCGGCUGCGGGUCUGAUUUGCGGCGGAGCAGGUGAACUCUCCUUCCCGCAGCUGGAUGAAUAAUGAAUGGAGACGGGAGGGGAAGCCAAGAGCCCGCGGCGGUGGAUUAAGUCGUCUUCCUCCCAGUCCGCCGGCACCCUUCCCCCUCUCCAAGCACUAUCUAGACGACUUUCCCGUCUCCCCGGAGCAGGUCGGAGUUCUACACACAGGUUGGAGCCCCGGAAGAAAACCAGGAGUGAGGGCGAAGUAAGAGAAUGAAGCUAAACUCUUAUUAAUCACUUUUUCCCCCCUAGGGAAGCAGGCAGGCUCGUAGGCUCGUGCCUCUCUGUACUAGGGAGAUUUCUCUUAGUGCAUUUGAAUUGUCUACGUACAGAACGCGCUCUAUCUAGUUAUAAAAUCUUUACUGGACUUUACAGGGACACUUCCUGGGGCAGGGGGCAGGGAGAGUGGCGAGGGCUUUAAGGUGCCGGAUUUUUGUUUCGUGGGAGCGGAGGUAUUUUUACCCAGGUAAGAGCAAUUGUUCGCUCCUCGCCUACGCUUCAUGCAGCCGCUUUCCGUUGGGGGCAGCGGGGAAGUGGGAAAAAAGAGAAUCCAGUCUCGGAGAUGCCACCUCAGUUGGCCACCCACCCACCCAAAUGCACUAAGGGCAGAGAGGGAGGCGGGAGACGGGCUUGUGGUCUGAAUACAAAACAAUCAAGGAGUAGGAAUCUUCUCAGAAAAAGCCCACUCCAGUUCCACUCCCACCCACCCACCACCCCCAAAGAAACUUCCACCCGACCCCCAAUACCAUAAACACGCUUGACUUCUUAAACGGCACGACCUCUCCCCCCCACCACACACACACACACACACAAGGGGGGAAGGGGGGGGAGGCACCGCUCUCUCACCUUCGGAAUGAUGAGGCAAUGCCGCAAAUUCCGCCAAUGCUAGGGCCACCCCGAGCCACACUUUGAAGGCACCCAUUGCCGCUUCGACACCCACACUGGAAGAGCCCAGCCUUCAGCAUCCAAGAACCAGCUCUCGCCCCAAACACCGGCUCUGGCGCCCGGGCUGGCGCGCACCGAGAGCGGGGGUUGGCGGGCGGCUACCUCCGGGGAAAUGCGGCGCUGCCCUGGCCCCGAGUGACACUCUUCAGCAGCCCAGAGGCGCCGGGCCGCGCGGGGGAUUCAAUUCACCCACUGCCCGGACGGAGAGCGCGCUCAGUUCUCCCGCGGAGCAGCACGCCAACGUGGGCUGAGCUUGGGGAAUAAAAGAGGAGGCAGAGCGCAGUUCUCCGCUGUA
rnacentral:lncRNA from 1 species